AGAGGGCAGCUGCAGUACACAAACACGAGGCCAAAUCUGGCGAGAAAGAUUUCCGGUGUUUGAAAAUCAACAACACCGACCAGCGAGCAGCCAAGGGGAAAGCAAUCUUCCACACUCGUUUGGUCUUGUGUCAAAGCUGUGUGAAACUGGAGGGAGAAACUUGAGAGACCAUGCCGGAAGAAUGCUGGACAGAGUUCCAUAAAAUUCAUUAAUUUCAAAGUUCAACAUGAAUGGUGGUAGUCCACUGCAGAAGCAAGCAUUUGAAAAAACAUCAGUUCUCAGUUAUUAAAGAUGCUGUGUUGAACAACUUCCCAGCAGCAACAGAACUGGAAGUGAAGGAUGCAAUGGGGGCAUUUCAAACAGGCACCGGGGGGGGGGGGGGGGGGUAUAGAAAUUAGUACAAUUAAUAAGUUGAAGUGAACUGAAGAUAAGUUUGUUAAUGUUUAGAUGUUAUUUCAUUUUUAAAAUUUUAUUUUGUUAUUUAUGCUUUUAUUUUGUUACUGUUUUUAUUCUUUUUGUUAAAAGUAGUUUUUCAUUUUGUCUUAUCUGAAUUUCUAUUGUAUUAACAAUAUUUCUUGUAAUAAAUUGCAUGAUUACAUGUUUAUGAGAACCUUUUUUAAUGGAUUAAAAAUAAUUCUUUAGCCA